GUGGGGAAUAUUGGACAAUGGGCGAAAGCCUGAUCCAGCCAUGCCGCGUGUGUGAAGAAGGUCUUCGGAUUGUAAAGCACUUUAAGUUGGGAGGAAGGGCAGUAAGUUAAUACCUUGCUGUUUUGACGUUACCGACAGAAUAAGCACCGGCUAACUUCGUGCCAGCAGCCGCGGUAAUACGAAGGGUGCAAGCGUUAAUCGGAAUUACUGGGCGUAAAGCGCGCGUAGGUGGUUUUGUAAGUUGGAGGUGAAAUCCCCGGGCUCAACCUGGGAACUGCCUCCAAAACUGCAUGACUAGAGUACGGUAGAGGGUAGUGGAAUUUCCUGUGUAGCGGUGAAAUGCGUAGAUAUAGGAAGGAACACCAGUGGCGAAGGCGACUACCUGGACUGAUACUGACACUGAGGUGCGAAAGCGUGGGGAGCAAUCAGGAUUAGAAACCCUAGUAGUCC
rnacentral:rRNA from 1 species